GACUAGUGACAGAGAGAGAGGGGGGGUGACUAGUGACAGAGUGAGGGAUGAGGUGACUAGUGACAGUGAUCACUUCCUUCACUCUGUCACUAGUCACCCCCUCCCUCACUCUGUCAUUGUGUCA